GACGAACGCUGGCGGCGUGCCUAAUACAUGCAAGUCGAGCGGACUGAUUAAGAGCUUGCUCUUAUGACGUUAGCGGCGGACGGGUGAGUAACACGUGGGCAACCUGCCCUGUAGAUCGGGAUAACACCGAGAAAUCGGUGCUAAUACCGGGUAAUAUCUGAGAUCACAUGAUCUUAGGUUAAAAGAUGGCUCCGGCUAUCACUACAGGAUGGGCCCGCGGCGCAUUAGCUAGUUGGUAAGGUAAUGGCUUACCAAGGCGACGAUGCGGAGCCGACCUGAGAGGGGGAUCGGCCACACUGGGACUGAGACACGGCCCAGACUCCUACGGGAGGCAGCAGUAGGGAAUCUUCCGCAAUGGACGAAAGUCUGACGGAGCAACGCCGCGUGAGUGAUGAAGGGUUGCGGCUCGUAAAGCUCUGUUGUUAGGGAAGAAACAGUACCGAACGAACUAGGUCGGUACCUUGACGGUACCUAACCAGAAAGCCACGGCUAACUACGUG
rnacentral:rRNA from 1 species